AACUCGGAAUAUUUGGAGAAAAAAUGUUCAUAUGUGGCAUUUGACACAAAGAUCACAUAAUAUAAUAACAAUUACACUAUAAUAAAAGAGUUUCGUACAUAAAGGAAAUACUAUUACAUCAUUAUUCCACCAUCUAUCAUGGAAACGAAAAGAUCACAAAUGCCAUGAUGAUCCGCCAACUAACAUGGUGGAGCAGGGAGGUUGCACUUAACUGGUAAACCCAAUGCAAGUCCGGGAUCAAUGCCUAGAGAAGGCAAUAUCAGAGACUCCUUAUACGAACACAAACACUUCAUGUCCGCUCCCGAUACUGCCUUACAACACUCAGGGCUUGGGUACACUGGUUUCUCGGUCGUCACUGACGGUUUGCAUGCCAUCAAACCAUCCUCAGUCAUAUUGCAUAUUUCCGCCGCUUGUAAACCACCUAUCACAACCAUCAACACCAAAAUCACCACCACCGGAGUCCUUGGCGUCAUCA
rnacentral:lncRNA from 1 species